AAUGGGCUUGAUUUGCAAACUUUAUUUAGCGAGGAACAAUUGGAGGGCAAGUCUGGUGCCAGCAGCCGCGGUAAUUCCAGCUCCAAUAGUGUAUAUUAAUGUUCCUGCAGUUAUUCGAUGCUCGUAGUUGGAUUUCUGGGGGCUGAGAUUGGAAGGUGGCCAAGGUCACCGCCGAACUCUUCCUUCAUCCACCUGUUAACGUUGUCCGGGAUUUGUUUUUCGGCGUCAGGCUCAGGUAUUUUACCCUUUCUAUAUAUUCAUUUAUUUAUCUUCUUUUUGAGUAAAUUAUAGUGUUUCAGGCAGGCGUGCGCCGGAAUACUUUAGCAUGGAAUAAUCGAAUUGGACCGUGUAUUCUUAUAGAAUUCUUCCUUAUUUGUUGGUUUCAAGGACACGGAAAUGGUUAAUAGGGAUAGUGUUUUCAGGGGAGGCAUUAGUAUUUAAUUUCCAGAGGUGAAAUUCUUUGAAAUAUUAAAGACUAACUUAUGCGAAAGCAUUUAUUUUGCCAAUAAUGUUUUCAUUAAUCAUUGAACGAAAGUUAGGGGAUCAAAGACGAUCAGAUACCGUCCUAGUCUUAACCAUAAACGUUGCCGACUAGGGAUCGGAGGGCGUGCACAUUCCGCCUUCGGCACCUUACGAGAAAUCAAAGUCUUUUGGGUUCUGGGGGUAGUAUGGUCGCAAGGCUGAAACUUAAAGGAAUUGACGGAAGGGCACCACCAGGAGUGGAGCUUGCGGCUCAAUUUGACUCAACACGGGAAAUCUUACCAGGUCCAGACAUAGCGAGGAUUGACAGAUUGAUAGCUCUUUCUUGAUUCUAUGGGUAUUUAUUUUAAUUUUGGUGGUGCAUGGCCGUUCUUAGUUGGUGGAGUGAUUUGUCUGGUUAAUUCCGUUAAACGAACGAGACCUCAGCCUGCUAAAUAGUUACCUGUCUUUCUUUUACGAGACUUGAUAACUUCUUAGAGGGACGUUGUGUGCAACCACAAGGAAGUUGAGGCAAUAACAGGUCUGUGAUGCCCUUAGAUGUCCUGGGCCGCACGCGUGCUACACUGAUACGUACAACAAGGUAUAUGCAUUUAUGCAUCGAUGCUGCUCCGAAAUAGACACAGCUAAAUCUUCUAAAAUACGUAUCGUGCUGCGGAUAGAUCGUUGAAAUUAUGGAUCUUGAAGGUGGAAUUCCUAGUAAGCGCGGGUCAUCAACCCGCGUUGAUUACGUCCCUGCCCUUUGUACACACCGCCCGUCGCUCCUACCAAUUUCGAGUGGCUCGGUGAACCUCUUUGGACUGUCGAGCAAUCGCGAAAUUAGAGUGAACCUGGUCAC
rnacentral:rRNA from 1 species